AUGUCAAAAGUAAUGUCUCUAUUAAAAAAUAUGAACCUAUCAGAGGAAGUGAUCAGUCAAAUUUGUGACUGCAUUAGAAAGUCACAUUUGUUCUCUGCCUGUCAUCAGGGACAGUUAAGAACAGUAUACUCCAGAAACCAGACAUUUACAAAAAUGUUUAAAUAUACAGAACCCCAAAAAGUGGCUUUGGGGUUGGAUGAAAAUAUGACACAAAAAUAUGCUUACUACAUACCAGUGGCAGAAACUCUGAAGAGCUUCUUACAGUCUCCUUUAUGGAGGAACAUAAAGUCAGAAGAGAUUCUUCGGGAUGUAUAUGAUGGACAACAUUUCAAACAUCACCAGUUUUUUUCUGAAAACCCUGAAAGCCUCAAACUGAUUUUGUACCAAGAUUCAUUUGAAAUUGUGAAUCCAUUGGGUUCUGCUAAGAGGACACACAAAGUUCUUGCAGUCUAUCUUUCAGUAGCAAAUCUACCCAUUCAUUUGCGUUCAAACACUGAUAACAUGUUUUUAGUAUUGUUGUGUGUUGAGAAUGACCUUUUGGAACGUUUUGGAAUAGACAAAGUUUUCUCAGAGUUGUUGGCAGAUCUGAAAUCCUUGGAAACAGAUGGAAUAAAUGUAGAUGGAGAAACUGUAAAAGCGUGUCUGUACUGCAUUGCUGGGGAUAACUUGGGUUCUCAUUGUAUAGGUGGGUUUACAGAGAACUUCAGCCGCUCUCAACAUUUUUGCAGGUACUGUGAAGUCGCAAGAAGAGAGUUUGAGACUGAUCCAAAUGCCUGUGGUCCUCCACGCACUCCAGAGAUGUAUGACGCAGCUGUUGCUGAACUUCAGUCUAAAAACAUCCCAGACGUCAGAGGAAUAAAGGUAAACUCUGACUUUAAUACCCUUAAGUCCUACCAUGUAUCACAGCCUGGUCUUCCACCUUGUUUAGGUCAUGACCUCUUUGAGGGAGUUGUGUCAUAUGAUCUAGCACUGUACCUGAAGAACAUUAUAAAAAAGAAAAAAUGGUUCACAUACACACUCUUAAACAGGCGCAUCAAACAGUUUAAGUAUAAAUGGAUCUAA
ensembl:lncRNA